AACGAACGCUGGCGGCGCGUUUUAAGCAUGCAAGUCGAGCGGCAAGGGGGUUCUUCGGGGCCCCCCUAGAGCGGCGGACGGGUGAGUAACACGUGGACAAUUUGCCCCCCGGUUCGGGAUAGCCCAGGGAAACCUGGAUCAAUACCGGAUGCGAGGGCGGCCGCAUAUGCGGCUGUUCGGAAAGGCGCUUCGGCGCCGCCGGGGGAUGAGUCCGCGUCCCAUUAGCUAGACGGCGGGGUAAGGGCCCACCGUGGCGAUGAUGGGUAGCCGGCCUGAGAGGGUGUACGGCCACAUUGGAACUGAGACACGGUCCAGACUCCUACGGGAGGCAGCAGCUAAGAAUCUUCCGCAAUGGGCGAAAGCCUGACGGAGCGACGCCGCGUGAACGAAGAAGGCCGUGAGGUUGUAAAGUUCUUUUCGGGAGGGGGAACGAGCCUGCCAGGCAAUGGGCGGGCGCUGACGUGAAUCCCGGAAUAAGCCCCGGC
rnacentral:rRNA from 1 species